rnacentral:rRNA from 1 species
AUACGGAGGGUGCAAGCGUUGUUCGGAAUUACUGGGCGUAAAGCGCGCGUAGGUGGUCUGUUAUGUCAGAUGUGAAAGUCCGCGGCUCAACCGUGGAAGUGCAUUUGGAACUGGCAGACUUGAGUACUGGAGGGGGUAGUGGAAUUCCCGGUGUAGAGGUGAAAUUCGUAGAUAUCGGGAGGAAUACCGGUGGCGAAGGCGACUACCUGGCCAGAUACUGACACUGAGGUGCGAAAGCGUGGGGAGCAAACAGGAUUAGAAACCCCGGUAGUCC